AUGCUCACUUGGGCAGCACAGGUACUAAAAUCGGAAUGAUAUAGAGAAGAUUAGCAUGGCCCCUUUGCAAAGAUAACAACGCAAAUUCAUGAAUUGUUCCAUAUUCAA
ensembl:snRNA U6 U6 spliceosomal RNA